rnacentral:rRNA from 1 species
UGGGGAAUAUUGCACAAUGGGGGAAACCCUGAUGCAGCGACGCCGCGUGAGCGAAGAAGGCUUUCGAGUCGUAAAGCUCUGUCCUAUGAGAAGAUAAUGACGGUAUCAUAGGAGGAAGCCCUGGCUAAAUACGUGCCAGCAGCCGCGGUAAUACGUAUGGGGCGAGCGUUGUCCGGAAUUAUUGGGCGUAAAGGGUACGUAGGUGGUUUUUUAAGUCAGGUGUCAAAGCGUGGAGCUUAACUCCAUUAAGCACUUGAAACUGAAAGACUUGAGUGAAGGAGAGGAAAGUGGAAUUCCUAGUGUAGCGGUGAAAUGCGUAGAUAUUAGGAGGAAUACCGGUGGCGAAGGCGACUUUCUGGACUUUUACUGACGCUCAGGUACGAAAGCGUGGUGAGCAAACAGG